CUGAUGUUUCUCUUUGGACUUACCGCUUCUGUGGUUGACACUACUGGUUGCGCUACAGCUGUAGCUCCUUGUGACUCAUGACAAAUACCUAAAUGCAGCAGCUUACAUCAGUGGAGUACUGUUUGCUCAACACUGUCUCAGUGUGCAAUCAAAAUCUAUCGUUAUGAUAAACCAAACGCAGACUCAGUUGUGUACCCUGGAUUUAAUUCAGCAAUCCAAUUGGACAGUUGUCACUGUCAACUCCAGUACAGUUUUUGGAAAUGAGACAGAGUGGGAUAAAGACUGCCAGUUGACAAGUAAGAUCAAGUCGGUCAGUCAGUGCAGCUAUUGCACUCUUCUGGCUAUUCCAGGCACAGAAAUGUUCACAGUACAAAGAACUAGAAGAGCCAGGGAUCACCACUAGAGAAGCCGCUCAAGAUUCAAAUGAAACUGUAUUUGUUGGAGAUCCUCAUCUGAACAUCAAAGCAGACAAGCUAGCACUAGCAACCGCGACACUGAAAUCAGGAAGAAGAAACCAGUUAGCGCUCAGCUUAAUGGACAUUUUAUUUACCCCGGAUGUCUUGGCAGCUUCAACUGUAAAGGAUCCAAAGAUGGAAAAAUGGCUCUAGACAGCACAGCUAUUGAAGCCAUACGAAGUCACUAUUUGUUCAAAUUUCCGCUAAAAAAAGAUGAGUCUCCAAAAGAAGUGUGACAAGAGAUGUCAAAAUCUAUCACAGACAAGUGUUUAUCCAUUAGCAAAAACAUAAAAUCUAUGUAGUACGACUGAUUACUAUAGAAAUUUAGAUGUCUGCUAGACAUGCAUGGAUGGUAUGAAAGUAUAUAAAGUUGUGUUG